GGGUCACUGCAGAGGCGCGGGUACCAGCCUGGAACAGUGGGUUAAAGGAUCCAGCUUUACUACAGCUUAGUUGCAGCUCGGAUUCAGUUCCUGACCCAAGAACUUGCAUAUACCACAGGUGCAGCCACAGAAAAUAAAUAAAUAAUAAAACUGUUUCUAACUUACUAACAAGGGUUGUCUGUACCUCCAUUUAAUGCUUUUUUUUUUUUUUCUGUCUUUCUCUUUAUGGUCAACUAACCAGUGUCAGAAGGGUCUGCCUUGAAUUGCCAUUCCGGUGGCCUAGUGUUUUAAUGGGCAUUUAUUCAUGAAGUAAAAGUGGAUUGUUGCAUUUUUUUUUAUAAAUAUAUUUUUGUGGCAGGUCAUUGGUGCAUGUAAAAUUGUUUUCUCAGGAUAUUUCAUUUUGACAAAUUGUUUCUUAUCAGAGCUGAUUAACUCUGAAGAGUGAGGAGAUACUCAACACCUCCCCCCGCCCCCCCCCCCACCCCAGUGUGGUUACAUGCAUGCACACCCACGCUCAAGAGCCUCUGAUGUUUCUUUGCGAUAAAUGUAAUCUUUUAAGAGAUUGGACAGCUUCUUGUGUUGCAAGCUUAAGAAAGAGCUUAUCAGCCAAGAUAAUAUGUGGAUUUUCACAGCACCCCAUUCAAGGAGGAGCCAGAGUAUUUUUGGCUAAAUUUCAGGCUUGCUCAUUAUCUUGGAAUAAUUCUGAAAGCUAAAUGAUCCCCAAAGACAAUGACAAAGAAAUGCACAUUUUUUGAAAUGCCCACUUUCAAUGCAGUAUACUUUUCCAAUAAUCAAUUGGUCAAAGCAUGAUUUUCAUUCUAAGCUUUGGGAGGAUGCAAAGCAAAAGCCAUUUCCAGCAGAAGUAUAAGUUGAUGAUUUGGGAUAGAAUCGAUUAAGAUGUAUAUUCUUUUUUUUUCCCCCUUUUAUGGCCACACCUGCAGCAAAUGGAAGUUCCUGGGCUAGGGGUCGAAUCGGAGCUGUAGCCACUGGCCUAUGCCAGAGCCACAGCAACGCGGGAUCUGAGCCACGUCUGCAACCUACACCACAGCUCACAGCAAUGCCGGAUCGUUAACCCACUAAACAAGGGCAGGGACCGAACCCACAACCUCAUGUUUCCUAGUCGGAUUCGUUAACCACUGCGCCACGACGGGAACUCCCAAGAUGUAUAUUCUUAAAUUUUGCCUAAAGAUUUGACCCAGCAAAUCUGUUUCUGGGAAUUUUUCUUCAAUAUGACAGGUUUGCAGAAAUUAAUAUACAAGGCUAUUUAGCACGGUUGCUCAUAAAAAUCAGUAACUAUUCAGUGAAGUGGAAAAUUUAUAAAUAAUGCAAUUUAGUAAGUAGAAUACUGUGCAACCACCAAAAACUGUAGAAUAUCUACCUGAUGGAGGAAAUAAUUCUAAUAAGUGUGAAAGUGGGUAACAAAAGAGUUUAUACACUAUGGUGCUAAGUAGGCAGAAAUGCUUAUCUGUGCAGAAAAUGCUCAGGCACAUCAAAAUAGUAGUGAUUUUCUCUGAGAGGAGAGCAUAUAAGUUUUUUUUUCCUUCUUUGUGCUGUUCUAUUUUUCCAGUUUCUGCAAAUGUCUAUUACCAUUAUUAUAUAUAUUUAAAAACAGUUUCUUUGAGAACUGAGAAGAAUGGCGAGUGAGAGAUAUAAAUGAGGAGACAUUUGGAAAACUGACUUUUCCCUGGAACUUCAAAGCCAUCAUUAUAGGCACCAAAUGUCCAAAACGCCUUUGUUCACUACUGAUUUCUUUAGUCACAUUCUAAUUAGAAUGGUGAUAGAUGAGUUUCUAUUACAGAUAAUGAAGUUAUUUUUAGUAAUGCUCUCUGAGAGAUCCUUCCAAGUAAAGAAAAAGCAUGCAGCCAUGGUUUAGGCAGUGCAUUUGCUUUGUAAGGGCAGUCAUUUAGGAUACUGGGAAAGUAAUUUUAAGUGUUAACCACUGUAUAAUUGAAAGAGGGUGCUUCUGUGGUUGGCUCAAUUUUUGCUUUCCUCUGUGUAAAACUGUCUCUCACUAGUGCUGUCUUUCUUUAAGCAAGCAUGUCCUAAAAAAACAAAAGCUAAACCUGUAGACCCUGGACUCAGUAAUCCCAUCUCCUACCACUUAACUAGUUUUGUCACUCUAAGGGAGUCACUUAAGCAUUUGAGCCUCAGUUUCUUCAAUGUUAAAAAGGGCCAACUACUAAGGUUGCUAUGGUGAAAAGCCUUUGAUUCUGUGAGGCUAUUAUCAAAUAAGAACACAUGCAAGAGUUCUUUGUAAAAUUGAAAACGGCAGUUUGAUGCAAUGAUUGAGUUCCCCCCUCACCUCUCCCCUCAAUGCCAUGCAUCACUAACUCUGUAUAUGAGAACUCACACUGCUUUAUCUCAGGAACAGCUGCUUGCUUCUGCUUGAAAAAAGUUCGGAGACUGCAAAAGUCUUUCUCUUGUUAUGAUUCAAGCGAUGUGAGUGACCCCAGCUAGGAUCCUUCCCUGUAUCCGGGUCAAUGUUCACUUUGUUCAGAGGGACAAAAAGAAAAUGCUUAUGUGUGAUGACCCUCAUGCCAUCAUGAAUUUCAAGGAUAGUGUCAAAGAUACUGGGCCUGUGAAGCAGCUGGCACAAUGCUUAGCAAUGUUCAGCAUGAAUCCAGAUGAAUCCAGAACCUACACAUGCAGGUUCCUAUGAUUCUCGUGUUACUUGUUGGUAUGUAGGUGUGUAUGAGGCACGCACUUAUUUGUGGAUUAGUUCCAUUUUCUGUGUGGGGAUUUUAGAUUUGCAUGCACCUUUUUUUUUUAAUGAAUAGAGUCAAUAAGUGAUAGCAUUCCAGAACUGCAUAGAACAUUUGUAUUCUUGAGCUGGUUAUUAUCUGAUGCCUUUUCUGGGGCUGGUUCCUAAGGACUAAGACAGGAGGAAUCUGCAGGCAGCACCAGCUCUGCAUCUUCCAGAGCAGCAGGUCUUAAGCCUAAAUGUAUGUUAGCAUCACUUGGGGAUUUUUUUUUUCCUUUUUUCUUUUUCUUUUUUUUUUUCUUUUUUUUGGCUUUUCUAGGGCCACGCCCAUGGCAUAUGGAGGUUCCCAGGCUAAGGGUCUAAUCGGAGUUGUAGCCACCAGCCUACGCCACAGCCACAGCAAAGUGGGAUCCAAGCCACAUCUGCGACCUACACCACAGCUCACAGUAACGCCGGAUCCUUAACCCACUGAGCGAGGCCAGGGAUCGAACCCACAACCUCAUGGUUCCUAGUCAAAUUCGUUAACCACUGAGCCUCGACGGGAACUCCACUUGGGGAUUUUUUUUUUUUUUUUAAGAUGCUGAAGUCUGAGCUUCCUGAGCUAAUUGGUCAAAAAAAUCAUACCAUUAAUUGUCUACCAGGGAACACUGAUAAGAAUCACCAAAGUGACAGGAAAGUAGAAAGUUCCCAAGGAGGGAAGCACCAGAAAUCAUCUUUAAAAGAUUGAAAUGAUGCACCCAAAAGGGCUUCAGCAUUUGUUUGUUAUAAUCACCCAAGGCAGGCCUUACACACAGGCUCACAGAGCCUGGAAAUAAGCUACCCUAGAGAAGAACCAAUCGUGGCCACUUGUAAGGAUAUUCCUAAAGAGGUGAGCAAGCAGGCAAAAAAUCAAUAUGCAAUAGGAGGUGAUGACAGAUGUGACAGUGGUGGGUAAAAAUUAGGAGCCCAGAGGAGAAAGAACCUCUCCCAAGUGAGGUAGAAGUGACAUUGGACUUGAUCCUUAAAGGAUGUGGAACUUCACCAGAUAAAGGAGCUGGAACCGGGUGAGGAGCAGGACUCUGGAAAUAGAAGCUUCUCACCCAGGAAUGUUCCCAGGUCUGUCACUUUAUGCUUCCAGAUACCAUCUGCUGCCGGUUCUGUCCUCUGCUCUGUAACUGCGGGAGUGUUAACUAAAUGAUGGUUUAACAGAGACCAGCAGAAGUCUAAGGGAAAUGUCCCAAGAGUGACAAUGCCAGUACAAGUGACCGAGGGUCACCAAAGGGCUUCUGAUGGCAACACCCACCCCCAGAAGGAGCUGCAGCUGAAGUCCAAAGUUUGGGCUCUAAAGAGAAGGGUGGGGAUGACAGGAGGAUUUUUAUAACUUGGAGGUCGUAGCGCAUCUCCUCUCUAGAGGUGGUAACAGAAAAACCCAGAGGUGCAACGACUGGCCGCACCCCGGCAUAUGGACGUUCCCGGGCUAGGGGUCAAAUUGGAGCUGCAGGUGCCACAGCAACCCCAGAUCCAGUCCACAUCUGUGGACUAUGCCACAGCUUGUGGCAAUGCCGGGUCCUUCAUCCACUGAGUGAGACCAGGGAUCAAACCUGCAUCCUCACAGAGACCACAUUAGGUCCUCAACCCACUGAGCCACAACAGGAACUCCUGGAUUGAGUUUCUUAUCCAGUAGUUCUUCCAAUUUUUUUUUGACUUUUUAAAAAUCUUUUUUAAAUUAAAAAAAAUGUUUAUUAUAGUUGAUUGACAGUGUCCUGUCAAUUUCUGCUGUACAGCAAAGUGACACCCAAGUUAUAUAUAUGUAUGUGUGUGUGUGUAUGUGUAUACAUUCUUUUUCUCAUAUCUUCCAUUAUUUUCCAUCACAAGGGAUUGGAUGUAGUUCUCUAAGCUAUACAGCAGGAUCUCAUUGCUUAUUCACUCCAAAUGCAACAGUUUGCAUCUACUAACCCCAAACUCCCAGUCCAUCCCACUCCCUCCCCCUCCUGCUUGGCAACCACAAGUCUGUUCUCUGCCCAUGAGUUUGUUUCUGUUUUGUAGAUAGGUUCAUUUGUGCCACAUUUUAGAUUCCACAUAUAAGUGAUAUCAUAUGGUAUUUGUCUUUCUCUUUCUGACUUACUUCACUUAGUAUGAGAAUCUCUAGUUCUAUCCAUGUUGCUGCAAAUGGUAUUUUCUUUUUUAUGGCUGAGUAGUAUUCCUUUGUGUAUAUAUACCACAUCUUCUUAAUCCAUUCAUCUGUCAAUGGACAUUUAGGCUGUUUCCAUGUCUUGGCUAUUGUGAAUAGUGCUGGAAUGAAUAUAGUGGUGCAUGUAUCUUUUAGAAUGAAAGUUUUUUUAUCCAGAUAUAUGCCCAGGAGUGGGAUUACUGAAACUUCUGGUAGUUCUAUAUUUAGUUCUCUGAGGAACCUCCAUACUGUUUUCCAUAAUGGUUGUACCAGUCUACAUUCCCACCAACAGAGAAGUAGGGUUCCCUUUUCUCCACACCCUCUCUAGCACUUGUUAUUUGUAGACUUAUUAAUGAUAGCUGUUCUGACCAGUGUGAGAUGGUACCUCAUUGUAGUUUUGAUCUACAUUUCUCUAAUAAUUAGUGAUGUUGAGCAUUUUUUUCAUGUGUUUGUUGGCUAUCUGUAUAUCUUCUUUGGAGAAAUAUCUAGGUUUUCUGCCCAUUUUUCAUUUGGGUUGUUUUUGUUGUUGUUGUUCAGGUUUUUUUGCUUUUUGUUUUUGUUUUUGCUGUUGAGUUGUAUGAGUUGUUUGUAUAUUUUGGGGAUUAAGCCCUUGUUCGUUGUAUCAUUUGCAACUAUGUUCUCCCAUUCCAUAGGGUGUCUUUUUGGGGUUUUAUUUCCUUUGCUGUGCAAAAGCUUUUACGUUUGAUUAGGUCCCAUUAUUUUUGCUUUUACUUCUCUUGCCUUGGGAGACUGACCUAAGGAAACAUUUACACAGUUGAUGUCAGAGAAUAUUUUGCCUAUGUUCUCUUCUAGUUUUAUGAUGUCUUAUGUUUAAGUCUUUAGGCCAUUUUUAUAAUGAUUUUUAUCUUUUCUAUUAUAGCUGAUUUACAGUGUUAUUUAUUUUUGUGCAUGGUGUGAGGGUGUGUUCUAGUUUCACUGAUUUACAUGUUGCUGUCCAGUUUUCCCAGCACCACUUGCUGAAAAGACUGUCUUUUUCUCAUUUUAUAUUCUUUGCCUCCUUUGUCAAAGAUUAAUUGACCACAGGUGUCAGAAUUAUUAAAUGAAUUUUUUGUAUAAAACUUCUCAACUAGCAGAAAUAGGUAGAACAGAGUAGUCUGAUUUCUUUAUACCGUAUAUGUCACACAUGACUUAGCAAUGUUCAAAGGCUGACAGUACUGUGUAAUAUACUUCAUGCCAAUACUAUGAAUGAUUUCUUCUUUAAUAAUUCAAAACACUUUUUCAGGAUCUUUCCAUGUAUCAGAAUCCUCAUAUAUUAUUUCUUGAGUUGUAAUUACAGAGUUGUAAGUACAGGAGGCAAAGGGAAUGUAUGUUACUGACCUCAGGACAGAAUCUGAAAGUUGCUUUUUGGAAUGAAUUUGUAACAGCCCGUUAUGUGACUCUCUCCAAAAAAGAAUGUAAUCUAAAAUUCACUUUAUGUGCAAACAUUAAGUGCUUUGAACUUUUAAACACUUGAAUUUAAGGUGAAGGAGUUUUUCCUGAAAAAAAGAUACAGGGAUGGUCCAUUUGAAGCAUGAAGCAUGACAUUACCUCUUAUGUUAGGAGAGAAUUAGAUUAUCAGGAGCAUCUGGGGAAGUCAAGCCAGCUGUGGGCGCCAUGGGCAUUGGUUGGGAUGUUCUUAGAUUUUAAAAUGGGUGCAGAGUUCCGUGGUGAUACAGUGGGCUAAAGAUCUGGCAUUGGCACUGCUGUGGUGCAGUUUCAACCCUGACCUAGGAACUUCCACAGGCCAUCGGUACAGCCAAAAAAUAAAAUACAAUAAAAUAGGUGAGUUAUCCUUAGGAUUGAACACAUCCUCAAAUGGGGUGGGCAGCCUGGCUUCCUUGUGCAAGAGUCAUUUCUCAGGUUUCUUCUAGUCACUUCUGAGAAAGUAUUUUCCAUCCAUCAGGGUUAGCGGAUGGGAGCCAGUGGAGGAAGGGGGCAGCUGGAACAGAGGGAACAGAGGUUGGCAAGAGACAGUGUAAAGAUGAAAAGUUGAGAGGGAAGUCGGGCUUGACUGACAGUAUCCGGACACUUACCAAGAACUGGCUGCUCUGGCUACAGGUGGCUUCUUCAAACUUGGACAUCAUGUUUGCAUGUCAUUCUCCUUCCUCCUCAGUGUGACCCGGCAGGGGGCAGGGGAUAAAGAGGAGGCAGAAGUCUCACUGCGUGUUCUGGGCAGAAGGAUCCCCAUUAAUUAAGGGCUGAUGAUAAAUGGAUGGUAUUUAAGAACUCGUGACUAAUAUCUAGCUGUCAAUCCCUUGCAGUGGUCCAUGCUGUGCUCGGAAUGGCUCCUGCAAAAAUUUUUGACAGGCAUUGUAUAUUAUAAAGAAUAAACACCUGACCUCAGUCCUUUUGUACUGGCACCAUCUAUAAGACCAGCACACUGAGAGGUGACUUCUAAGUCACCCGUCCUAAACACAGACACACACACACACUUCACCCCCCUGCUUCCAGCUCCAGCCACCUCCCAGUGCCCACUGGACUGCUUUAAGAUGGCUUUUCCAGAAACUUCCUCUAUCCUUGUUGAUUUCAUUUAACCCCAUCUGUAAGCAGUCUUUCAUUAAUGUCUCAGUCAUCCCCUUCUGAAGGUGCCUUUUGUUCCUGCAAGAACACUUGAUCUGUACAGCCACCCAUUAGCUUUGGGACGUUGGGUCAUUAUUAAAAAAUCUUUUGUUCACAUCUUAAGGUGGAAAAUCUGUAAACUAUGUCGAAGUGACAAUAUUUUACCAGCUCUGACCUACAGAAAUGACAGCGUCAUAGGCUGUGAGAAAGACUUAAACAUAAAAUGAUUCAAAUAGUACCUGACACGCUGUAAGCAUUUCCUUUCUAGUGAUGUCGCUCGGACGCCAUCAUUUAUGUCUUUGCCCAACAAGAGCAAGUCUACGCUGCCUUCUCCCCCGUUCCAGGUUGACACGGCUCAGGUACUGCAGGGCUUUCUCCCCAAGCCCAGAGGCAAACUCAAACCCUAGGAAGGGAAGAGGCACCACUUCCCAAACCCCAUGACCCUCUUCUUCUGGUCUUUCCCAAAAGGGAUUUGCAUGCCCACCACCACCUGGUCUAGUGCAAGACCUGAGGAAGAGGACCAUGGGGUUGGGAAGCUAGGGUUUGAGUUUACCUCCUCAACAGAGGCAUCCUCCAGGCAUCUCUCAACAGAAAGUUUUCACAAUAAUGUUCUGCCUUACAGUAACGUUACAUCACUGGUAUUGAAACCCUGGGUAAUCACUAAAUCCACUUACCUAGAAAAACACAAAAAUAAAAUAAAAAUUAAAAAAAUAAACUGUUCUCUAGAAAAAGACAAAAAAAA
rnacentral:lncRNA from 1 species